rnacentral:rRNA from 1 species
UACGGAGGGGACUAGCGUUGUUCGGAAUUACUGGGCGUAAAGCGCACGUAGGCGGUUUUGUAAGUCAGGGGUGAAAUCCUGGAGCUCAACUCCAGAACUGCCUUUGAUACUGGAGAGCUUGAGUCCGGAAGAGGUGAGUGGAACUCCGAGUGUAGAGGUGAAAUUCGUAGAUAUUCGGAAGAACACCAGUGGCGAAGGCGGCUCACUGGGCCGGUACUGACGCUGAGGUGCGAAAGCGUGGGGAGCAAACAGG